GACGAACGCUGGCGGCGUGCUUAACACAUGCAAGUCGAACGGAAAGGCCCUGCUUUUGUGGGGUGCUCGAGUGGCGAACGGGUGAGUAACACGUGAGUAACCUGCCCUUGUCUUUGGGAUAACUUCAGGAAACUGGGGCUAAUAUCGGAUAGGAGCUCCUGCUGCAUGGUGGGGGUUGGAAAGUUUCGGCGGUUGGGGAUGGACUCGCGGCUUAUCAGCUUGUUGGUGGGGUAGUGGCUUACCAAGGCUUUGACGGGUAGCCGGCCUGAGAGGGUGACCGGCCACAAGGGGACUGAGAGAGGGCCCAGACGCCAACGGGAGGCAGCAGGGGGGAGUAUUGCACAAUGGGCGGAAGCCUGAUACAGAAGCGCCGCGUGCGGGAUGACGGCCUACGGGUUGUGAACCGCUUUCGCCUGUGACGAAGCGUGAGUGACGGUAAUGGGUAAAGAAGCACCGGCUAACUACGUG
rnacentral:rRNA from 1 species